rnacentral:rRNA from 1 species
AUUGAACGCUGGCGGCAUGCCUUACACAUGCAAGUCGAACGGCAGCACGGAGCUUGCUCUGGUGGCGAGUGGCGAACGGGUGAGUAAUAUAUCGGAACGUACCCUAGAGUGGGGGAUAACGUAGCGAAAGUUACGCUAAUACCGCAUACGAUCUAAGGAUGAAAGUGGGGGAUCGCAAGACCUCAUGCUCGUGGAGCGGCCGAUAUCUGAUUAGCUAGUUGGUAGGGUAAAAGCCUACCAAGGCAUCGAUCAGUAGCUGGUCUGAGAGGACGACCAGCCACACUGGAACUGAGACACGGUCCAGACUCCUACGGGAGGCAGCAGUGGGGAAUUUUGGACAAUGGGCGAAAGCCUGAUCCAGCAAUGCCGCGUGAGUGAAGAAGGCCUUCGGGUUGUAAAGCUCUUUUGUCAGGGAAGAAACGGUGAGAGCUAAUAUCUCUUGCUAAUGACGGUACCUGAAGAAUAAGCACCGGCUAACUACGUGCCAGCAGCUGCGGUAAUACGUAGGGUGCAAGCGUUAAUCGGAAUUACUGGGCGUAAAGCGUGCGCAGGCGGUUUUGUAAGUCUGAUGUGAAAUCCCCGGGCUCAACCUGGGAAUUGCAUUGGAGACUGCAAGGCUAGAAUCUGGCAGAGGGGGGGUAGAAUUCCACGUGUAGCAGUGAAAUGCGUAGAUAUGUGGAGGAACACCGAUGGCGAAGGCAGCCCCCUGGGUCAAGAUUGACGCUCAUGCACGAAAGCGUGGGGAGCAAACAGGAUUAGAUACCCUGGUAGUCCACGCCCUAAACGAUGUCUACUAGUUGUCGGGUCUUAAUUGACUUGGUAACGCAGCUAACGCGUGAAGUAGACCGCCUGGGGAGUACGGUCGCAAGAUUAAAACUCAAAGGAAUUGACGGGGACCCGCACAAGCGGUGGAUGAUGUGGAUUAAUUCGAUGCAACGCGAAAAACCUUACCUACCCUUGACAUGGCUGGAAUCCCCGAGAGAUUGGGGAGUGCUCGAAAGAGAACCAGUACACAGGUGCUGCAUGGCUGUCGUCAGCUCGUGUCGUGAGAUGUUGGGUUAAGUCCCGCAACGAGCGCAACCCUUGUCAUUAGUUGCUACGAAAGGGCACUCUAAUGAGACUGCCGGUGACAAACCAGAGGAAGGUGGGGAUGACGUCAAGUCCUCAUGGCCCUUAUGGGUAGGGCUUCACACGUCAUACAAUGGUACAUACAGAGCGCCGCCAACCCGCGAGGGGGAGCUAAUCGCAGAAAGUGUAUCGUAGUCCGGAUUGUAGUCUGCAACUCGACUGCAUGAAGUUGGAAUCGCUAGUAAUCGCGGAUCAGCAUGUCGCGGUGAAUAAAAUGCCCGGGUCU